AUGCCGCUCUCUUUCCCUGUUCGAUUUCAGGGAUCUCUCGAAAUCCAGCGGAAGGCCCUUGAGGGAUUCAUGGACCCAAGGUUGUGGCAGGGGCCCACGGGUGACCAGCAAGCCGACACAAGCUCAUUGCUCGGCGCCUGGGACAGCAUGUCCUGGUGGGACAGCAGGUGCAGCCACACGAACCGGAGGGGCUUCCUCAGUUCAGAAUCCUCAGACCCUCUUUGGAUGCAAGAGACUGCUUCCCCCAGGUGCUAUGUGAAAAUACUGCAGGUCUCUUCAGGUAAGACAAGAGGGUGGGAUGGGAUGGGACAUUCAAAGAGGGGGACUUGGGGCUGUCUGCCCCACCUGGGAGUACCCUCGUACCCCUCACUGUGCCAUGCUCACCACCUCUGCUGGACUCCCAAGGGACACCUUCCAGAUGAAGCUGGGGACAAGCUCCUGCUGUCCAAAUGAGGAGAAGGAAACCAAAGCACAGAGUGAGUGGCUUGGGGAGGUCCCGCAGCUGGUGGGUAGGUGGAGGCUGGUCUGAACCCAGGGUGUGGAGUCUGCGUGAACACUGCUGCACAAACCUCCUGGACGCUGGACCCUGGCUCACGCAGGCGCUGUGUUGAUCUCACUGAAGCCCCGGUGGCCCUGAAAGGUCAGGGUAGUUGUUCCCAUGGCACCACGGUAGACACUGAGCCUUGGGGUUGAGUAGGGUACUCAAGCCGUGCAGGACUAUCCAUGGUCCUGACUCUCCCACCCACCCCUGGCCGCCGCCUGACAAAUGUUUUUCCUUCUUUCUUACAACCACAGCUGGGUGGGGCCUCCGAACACCAUCUGGCCUGGCGGCUGCUCCCAGCAAAAGAUGUCAUUAUUCUAGUCUUGACAAGUGACCUGUCUAAGGCCCCACGGCCAAGCAGACACACCAACGUGUCAGGGCGCACACUUCCUAGAACAGGGUGACCUCCAUUUGAACAAUACUGCUUUUGGCCCCCCAGCUGUGGUAUAGACACAGCAAAUAGCUUUAUUUGGGACAUUUCAGACUUUUCCCUCUCUCCGACAAAAGAAAAAAAAAAAAAACUCUAACUGACACAUCACUCUUCGAGCAUGCAUUACUUUUUCCCUUUUAGAAGCGUAACCGUCCACCACCCUUUGUCAGAUGUCCAAGAGCACAGAAAGCCCGCUCCUCCCAGCUGGGUUGUGUUCAAUGAUUUGGUGCUGGAUCUCAGCCAGGCUGCCCCGGUCUCCUGCCAGAGGCCGACACAGGCCGACUCUGGAGGCAGCGAUGGGCGACACCGGGUCAGGUGAACGCACCUCACACGGGGGUGGGAAUGAAGGAGUCCUGGUGGGCCUCUGCCCAUCAGCAAGGGUCCCCUAGGAAACAGUGUGCUGGAGCAGCCAGUGGUGUUUCACGAAACAGUGCUAUUUUUAAAGAGAGGUGUGCGUAAGCAUUUACCCAGGGUGAAUCCAUCAUUUCCAUCCCACUUAGCUCCACCCUUCAUCUCUCUUUCAUCUGCUCAGCAUGCCCGUGAGGACUCUCACAGCUUAAGGAGGCCCUGCCGGGAGAAUCACUCCAAAGGUUGUCAAGCAUCUGCCCGGGCCCGAUCUCAACUCAGAAAAACAUUCACCACAGCCAUGGAAAGGUAAAUAAAUACAUCUGCACGGCACCCA
rnacentral:lncRNA from 1 species